GUGUUGUAUGAAAGGUGGGAAGGUUAGCACUCCCCUUGACAAGGAUGAAAGAGGCUCUUGGGCCUGACAACAUGCACUCGGUUAAGGCAUUGCCAUCUACCGUGUGGCAUCUAACCACAGUUUUUU